UACGUAGGGGGCGAGCGCUGUCCGGAGUUACUGGGCGUAAAGCGCACGCAGGCGGUCUGCUAAGUUUGGAGUGACAGUUGGUGGCUUAACUGCCAAAGUGCUUCGAAAACUGACAGACUUGAGGGCUUCAGAGGGACACGGAAUUCCGGGUGGAGUGGUGAAAUGCGUAGAGAUCCGGAGGAACACCAAAGGCGAAGGCAGUGUCCUGGGGAGUACCUGACGCUCAGGUGCGAAAGCCAGGGGAGCGAACGGG
rnacentral:rRNA from 1 species